rnacentral:rRNA from 1 species
UACGUAGGGAGCAAGCGUUGUUCGGAAUCAUUGGGCGUAAAGGGUGCGUAGGUGGGUUAUUAAGUUGGAUGUGCAAUUUCAGGGCUCAACUCUGAACCUGCAUCCAAUACUGAUAAUCUUGAGGUUAGCAGAGGUUGGCGGAAUUUCUGGUGUAGGAGUGAAAUCUAUAGAUAUCAGAAAGAACACCGGCGGCGAAGGCGGCCAACUGGGCUAAAUCUGACACUGAAGCACGAAAGCCAGGGGAG